UAUACGAUUAAGUUCCAUAUGAUCUUUCCUUCUGAAAUUUUCUUUCUCCCCCUUAAUUGAUCGUUCUUAUUUAAGAGUUUAGAAUUUGAAGAUAAUGUUCAAUAAAAUUGUCAAUCUCGAAAAUAUAUUUUUUAUAAGUUUCAGCAUAUUUUCAUAAGACUCAAGGUUUGAGAUAAGACAACCUUUAUAGAACUCAACUCAAGGCAAGCAAUGGCAACACAAGGAGGUUUAUCAAAAUCAAUCCAUAAAACAUUCAAGAUAUUCAUCAAAUGGAUGUAACCUUUUGCAUUUAGAUUGAAUAUCUAAAGCUCCCCCUCAAAAGAUGCAUUCUUCUUUAAUCAUUCUUUUCUUUGUUGAAUUUCAGAUGUUGAUGACAAGCGUGAAUAGAACUGAAAUUCUAUGAUAUCGAGAAUGUAGAGUGAUCUAGAAUUAUUCAAAAUUUGUAGCAAUUACUCUUUCUAAUCCUUCAAGAACAAGUUAUGCUUUCUCUUAAUCUUAGAGAAAAUGUAUAGAAAUAUUAAUCAGAAAAUGAUUCAUUUGAAGCUCAAUUUCUUUCAAAAGCAUUUA
rnacentral:lncRNA from 1 species